GAUCCUGGCUCAGGACGAACGCUGGCGGCGUGCCUAACACAUGCAAGUCGAACGGGGUUUUAAGAAGGAAAGCUUCGGCAGGAAUUCUUAAAAUCCAGUGGCGGACGGGUGAGUAACGCGUGAGGAACCUGCCUCAAAGAGGGGGAUAACAACGAGAAAUCGUUGCUAAUACCGCAUAAGACCACGCUCCCGCAUGGGAGAGGGGUCAAAGCUCCGGCGCUUUGAGAUGGACUCGCGUCCCAUUAGGUAGUUGGUGAGGUAACGG
rnacentral:rRNA from 1 species